AACGCGAAGAACCUUACCUGGGCUCGAAAUGUUAUGGACCGGGGUAGAAAUAUCCCUUCCCCGCAAGGGGCCGUAAUAUAGGUGCUGCAUGGCUGUCGUCAGCUCGUGUCGUGAGAUGUUGGGUUAAGUCCCGCAACGAGCGCAACCCUUAUCUUCAGUUGCUACCAUUUAGUUGAGCACUCUGACGAAACCGCCUCGGAUAACGGGGAGGAAGGUGGGGAUGACGUCAAGUCCUCAUGGCCUUUAUGUCCAGGGCUACACACGUGCUACAAUGGUCGGUACAAACCGUCGCAAACCCGUGAGGGGGAGCUAAUCGGAAAAAGCCGACCUCAGUUCGGAUUGUAGUCUGCAACUCGACUACAUGAAGCUGGAAUCGCUAGUAAUCGCGGAUCAGAAUGCCGCGGUGAAUACGUUCCCGGGCCUUGUA
rnacentral:rRNA from 1 species